AUGAAAUGUAGGACCGCUCCCUCAACCCACUAUGAGGUGGCCUUUGUUUGGGCUUUAGCUACAGAUUCACAGAUUCUAGCACAUCCAAAAUCAGAAUCUCAAACAAACACUCGGAUUUCUAUCUUAGCUUUCAAGAAUCGGCUUUGGAAAUUUAACUACGCCGACGCGCAAUCCGGAAGCAGCGAAUUUGCUGAUUCCCGAGAUUCCCGAGCAGUCACUUACCCUGGUUCCAGAAUAGACCGAGUUGUUCCUGUUAUUACGCUAGAAAUGCCACUGCCCACACCAGUUUCCCCAACGCCAUGUUCUUCUCCACCUCGUUCUUUCCCAGCCAACAGAACAAAGACGGGGGAUCUCCUGUAG
rnacentral:rRNA from 1 species